rnacentral:rRNA from 1 species
UACGGAAGGGGCGAGCGUUGUUCGGAAUCAUUGGGCGUAAAGGGCGCGUAGGUGGUUCUGUAUGUCUACCGUGAAAGCGUACGGCUCAACCGUAUUUUGUCGGUAGAAACUGCAGGACUUGAGGCUGGGAGGGGCUGGUGGAAUUCCCUGUGUAGCGGUGAAAUGCGUAGAGAUGGGGGAGAACACUCGUGGCGAAGGCGGCCAGCUAGACCAGUUCUGGCACUGAGGCGCGACAGCGUGGGGAGCAAACAGG